rnacentral:sRNA from 1 species
GUCCUCUACAGACAUGCUCACAGAGGAACUUCAUCUAGAGGACUCCUCUGUGAAGACUCUCCCUCCAGGUCACCUCUCCUGCACUGCUUGAGAGUCUGAUUAAAGACCAUGAAUUGCUCCAGUGGCCACCACAGCUCCCAACAUUGAAAACUCUCAGACUCAGGACUAGAGGCUUCAGCUUCUCACUUUGCCUGGGCUCAAGGCUGACACCUUGUAGUGUGUUCUCUCUGCCAGCUCAGUUUCUCCCCACAUUAUACCUGACACUGUUUUUACUCAGCCAUCAGCUCAUAACUGCUAUGUCUCUACCGUGUCCUCGAGUAAUGCCUUCCAGACAUAGAUGAAGAUUCCUCAGCAGACUUCUCUGCCUUCAUUUGAUCCUUUUUUCUGUUUCCUCUGCCAGGUCCAUUUCCAGGUGUGGAACCCCUCCCUCCAAGAAAGGAUAACAAGUGGUCGGCCUCUCAUGCCAUUUCCUUCUGUUACCGUGUGCUUCUUUGAGUAGGCCCAAUUCAGUGCUACAAGUUUUUGCAGGUGAAGAAUCUGAAGGGUCUUUGUCAGUGCCAGUACACACAGAAGUACCUGACUUGUCUGGGAAGUGGGAGCCUUGGCCUUGGCACAGACAUGUGCUGUUCUCCUUCCUUGGAUGCCAGUCCGGAUCAUAUCUCUCCUGCAGACUUGCCUUGAUUGUUGACUUGGGGAUCCUCAAGCUCUCAGCUUACUUAGUUCUCUAAGGACAUGGCUUCCCUCAUCAGCAGAUCCAGAGCCCUCACACCAGAUGCUCUUAUUUACCUGUGAGUGGGACCAAGCCAACAACCUUAAUCCUGACUCAGAGGUGAGAAUAAACUUAAAGCUCAGAGCAUGACCUGCUCCAGUGUGGUUCCUGAGCCUGAGAGCUCCCGGUGAGAUGUGACGCACUUGUCAUGCUAACCCAGGUAGGGACAUCGUCCUCUACAGAAGAGAGAUGAGGAAAGCCUUGUGUCAGCACACGGACUACUUCCCAUUCCCCAGCUC